GCAGCCGCGGUAAUUCCAGCUCCAAUAGCGUAUAUUAAACUUGUUGCAGUUAAAAAGCUCGUAGUUGUAUUUCAGCCUCGCGUUUUUUCCCUCGUUUUGGGUCUUUUCGCUGGCUUUGUUUUUACUUUGAGAAAAUUAGAGUGUUUCAAGCAGACUUUUGUCUUGAAUACUUCAGCAUGGAAUAAUAGAGUAGGACCUUGGUUCUAUUUUGUUGGUUUUGAGCCUUGGUAAUGGUUAAUAGGAACGGUUGGGGGCAUUCGUAUUUAACUGUCAGAGGUGAAAUUCUUAGAUUUGUUAAAGACGAACCACUGCGAAAGCAUUUGCCAAGGACGUUUUCAUUAAUCAAGAACGAAAGUUAGGGGAUCGAAGACGAUCAGAUACCGUCGUAGUCCUAACCAUAAACUAA
rnacentral:rRNA from 1 species